CGCUGAGUUUGAUCCUGGCUCAGGAUGAACGCUAGCGGCAGGCUUAACACAUGCAAGUCGAGGGGUAUAGUUCUUCGGAACUAGAGACCGGCGCACGGGUGCGUAACGCGUAUGCAAUCUACCUUUUACAGGGGGAUAGCCCAGAGAAAUUUGGAUUAAUACCCCAUAGUAUGUUGAAGUGGCAUCAUUUUAACAUUAAAGUUCCAACGGUAAAAGAUGAGCAUGCGUCCCAUUAGCUAGAUGGUAAGGUAACGGCUUACCAUGGCUACGAUGGGUAGGGGUCCUGAGAGGGAGAUCCCCACACUGGUACUGAGACACGGACCAGACUCCGUACGGGAGCAGCAGUGAGAAUAUUGGUCAAUGGGCGCAAGCCUGAACCAG
rnacentral:rRNA from 1 species